ACGAACGCUGGCGGCGUGCCUAAUACAUGCAAGUAGAACGCUGAAGAGAGGAGCUUGCCCUUCUUGGAUGAGUUGCGAACGGGUGAGUAACGCGUAGGUAACCUGCCUUGUAGCGGGGGAUAACUAUUGGAAACGAUAGCUAAUACCGCAUAACAAUGGAUGACACAUGUCAUUUAUUUGAAAGGGGCAAUUGCUCCACUACAAGAUGGACCUGCGUUGUAUUAGCUAGUAGGUGAGGUAAUGGCUCACCUAGGCGACGAUACAUAGCCGACCUGAGAGGGUGAUCGGCCACACUGGGACUGAGACACGGCCCAGACUCCUACGGGAGGCAGCAGUAGGGAAUCUUCGGCAAUGGGGGCAACCCUGACCGAGCAACGCCGCGUGAGUGAAGAAGGUUUUCGGAUCGUAAAGCUCUGUUGUAAGUCAAGAACGGGUGUGAGAGUGGAAAGUUCACACUGUGACGGUAGCUUACCAGAAAGGGACGGCUAACUACGUG
rnacentral:rRNA from 1 species